UUCAUUAAUCAGGAACGAAAGUUAGGGGAUCGAAGACGAUCAGAUACCGUCGUAGUCUUAACCAUAAACUAUGCCGACUAGGGAUCGGACGAUGUUAUUUUUUGACUCGUUCGGCACCUUACAAGAAAUUAAAGUUUCUGGGUUCCGGGGGGAGUAUGGUCGCAAGGCUGAAACUUAAAGAAAUUGACGGAAGGGCACCACCAGGGGUGGAGCCUGCGGCUUAAUUUGACUCAACACGGGGAAACUCACCAGGUCCAGACACAAUGAGGAUUGACAGAUUGAGAGCUCUUUCUUGAUUUUGUGGGUGGUGGUGCAUGGCCGUUCUUAGUUGGUGGAGUGAUUUGUCUGCUUAAUUGCGAUAACGAACGAGACCUUAACCUGCUAAAUAGCCCGUAUUGCUUUGGCAGUACGCUGGCUUCUUAGAGGGACUAUCGGCUCAAGCCGAUGGAAGUUUGAGGCAUUAACAGGU
rnacentral:rRNA from 1 species